GUCCAGUGUAUUUUGGGGCAUAGCGUAAUAUAACCUUUCUUCCUGUACUGUUUAUGAUGUCGCUGUAUGAAAUCAUCUGUUAUAAGUACAGCAACCAAUAACAGGUGUAGGAUUGCAUGAUUUCUUAUCAGUGGGUUAAUUAUUAGGUACUUUGGACUGCUUUCGACAGUAACUCAUCCUUUAUAAUAGAGCAUAAUUUUCUAUCUGUUGUGUUUUUUUAUUAUCCAAC
rnacentral:lncRNA from 1 species